ACCAUCCUCAACCUGAAGGAGCCCCUGUACAUUGGGGGCGCCCCCGACUUCAGCAGGCUGGCCCGGGCAGCCGCCGUGUCCUCUGGCUUCGAUGGUGCCAUCCAGCUGGUCGCCCUGAACGGCCGCCAGCUGCUGACCCGGGAGCACGUGGUGCAGGCAGUGGACGUCUCGUCCUUUGCAGACCACCCUUGUACCCAGGCCGCGGGCCACCCUUGCCUCAACGGAGCCUCCUGUCUCCCUCGGGGGGCCUCCUAUGAGUGCCUGUGUCCUGGGGGCUUCUCAGGGCUGCACUGUGAGAAGGGCCUGAUUGAGAAGUCAGCAGGGGACCUGGACGCACUGGCCUUUGAUGGACGGACCUACGUCGAGUACCUCAAUGCCGUGACUGAGAGCGAGAAGGCGCUGCAGAGCAACCACUUUGAGCUGAGUCUGCGCACGGAGGCCACGCAGGGGCUGGUGCUGUGGAGUGGCAAGGCCACGGAGCGGGCCGACUAUAUCGCCCUGGCCAUCGUGGAUGGACACCUGCAGCUGACUUACGACCUGGGCUCCCAGCCUGUGGUGCUGCGCUCCACCGUCGCAGUCAACACCAACCGCUGGUUGCGGGUCAGGGCACACAAGGGAAGGUUCUCUUCAGGUGGGCAAUGAAGCUCCUGUGACAGGCUCCUCCCCGCUGGGCGCCACGCAGCUGGACACCGACGGAGCCCUGUGGCUGGGUGGCCUGGAGAAGUUGCCUGGGGGCCAGGCUCUGCCCAAGGCCUACAGCACAGGCUUUGUGGGCUGUCUGCGGGAUGUGGUGGUGGGUCGGCGCCCACUGCACCUGCUGGAGGACGCCGUCACCAAGCCGCCCUGUCCCACCCCGUGAGCCACACCACAGCCACCGCCCACCUUGCUGUAAUUAUUUUCUAUUUUUGUAAACUUGUUGCUUUUUUGAUAUGAUUUUCUUGCCUACGCGUUGGCCAGAGGGACUGCCGGCCCAGCCUCCCUCCUGUCCAGGCCGAGCCGCAGAGACAGGCCUGGUGCCGAGGGACAUUCGGGCUUGGGCAAAAUGCGGCCCAUGGAGGGCUUGACUCCCUUGACAGCUUGGGAUGCACCCCUCUGCCUUGGGACACUGCGUCCUGGCCUCUGGGGACGUGCCUCCCUGGUGUGCCCGCUUGCACUGGCCCUCGUGUUUUCCGGCCUGUCGGCAGACCCUACAUACACACACUGCCCACGUUCCAUCUGGCAAAGGGCUGUGUCCCCAGAACAGAAAGGCACUGCCAGGGUUUGGGGGGCCCUUCCUCUGCGCGAGCCCCACGACACCUUUGUUACCAACCGAGCUGCCCCUCCUGCCUGCUUGUGUGGGCAGGGCUGACCUCACCUGGAUCCACAGAGCACGGGCCCGCCCCUCCCGGGCCUCCUGUGCCAAGACUGUGACUUAGAAACGUGUCACUGUUGGGGCCACACUGCACCCCUCCCCCAGACGUGCCCACCAGUCCUGAGGCACUGGAGAGCAGAGGCCAGUCUCAGGCCUGUUCAGGGCAGCCCUCCCCACCCCCAAGCCCCAGGAGGGAAAGGGGCCAGCUUGCGAUGCCAUCGACACCCACUGCCUGUUUGCCAGGGCAGCCAGCAUCCCCUCUCAAGGAAGCACGUCCAGGCCUGACCACCAACCACAGAACCUGUACGUGUUGAUUUUACUUGACCCCUGGGAUGGCAGGGCUGUUGUCUUUCCUGUCCUGGCCCGAGGGCAGCUGAGGACACCACACUGUUCUGGCAUGAGGAGUGCUUGUCCUUGUCCAAGAAUGACCAGGAGCUGACUGGUGUCUGACCAAGGCCAAAGGGCAGGUGCAGGGGUGGCAGAGAUGGCUGCUAAGCCAGAAACGCCUUAAACUGCAGUGUUAGGUCUCAUCUGGUCCUGUUCCCCACCCCCACCCCUCCCCGUCCUGGUGGGGUUAGCAGCGCCUCCCACAACUGGGCCUGGGG
ensembl:lncRNA